UACGUAGGGAGCAAGCGUUGUUCGGAUUUACUGGGCGUAAAGGGCGCGUAGGCGGCGCGGUAAGUCACUUGUGAAAUCUCUGAGCUUAACUCAGAACGGCCAAGUGAUACUGCAGUGCUAGAGUGCAGAAAGGGCAAUCGGAAUUCCAGGUGUAGCGGUGAAAUGCGUAGAUAUCUGGAGGAACACCGGUGGCGAAGGCGGCAUCCUGGACCGACACUGACACUGAGGCGCGAAAGCGUGGGGAGCAAACAGG
rnacentral:rRNA from 1 species